UUCCUUAUCCCAUUCAAUGCAUUCAUCUUCACUCUCGCUCUCACUUCCAAUGAUAAAGUUCAAGUUCUCUUGUGGACAUAAAACCAAACAUUUCAUCUGCUUCCCUUCUCCAUGGCUUCUCUACCUUCCAUUGUCAUCAAUGGCACCCUUCACAGGCUCGAGCCCGACCUCCGAAAGCUCUCUCCGACCUCCCUCCCUGCAGAGAAGGGGUUUUCAUACCAGAGGAGCACAGCGGCGCCGGAGAGCUUCUCUGAAGCAUCACAACCACUGACCAUCCAGGAAGCUCUCUCCUUUAUUGGAGAAGGGUCUCGAGUUGAGCCAGCUCUCUAUGUCCCUCUUUUGCAACAAUGCAUUGAGUAUAGAUCUCUCUCGGAGACGGAAUGCAUCCAUGGACAUAUCAUCAAGACUGGGUUGCGUGAAGAAGUGUUUUUAUCGACUUCUCUUGUCAAUGUUUAUAUGAAAUGUGGUGCCGUGGAUUAUGCUCGGAAUUUGUUUGAGAAAAUUCCUCAGAGAAAUAUUUUUACUUGGACUGCCUUGAUUACAGGCUAUGUUCACAAUGGACAGCCAGAAAAUGGCAUGGUUGUGUUUGUGCAGCUCUUGGAAUCUGGUGUUUAUCCGACUUAUUAUACGCUGGGUGCAGUCCUAAGCGCAUGUUCGGCUUCUUAUUCUAUUGAGUUUGGUGAGCAAGUUCAUGGGUAUAUCAUUAAGUUUGGGCUUGAAUCAGCUACGAGCAUGGGGAACUCACUGUGUUCCUUAUAUUCCAAAUGCGGGAGUCUGGAAUUAUCUGUGAAGGCAUUUGGCAGAAUCCCCGAUAAGAAUGUGAUUUCAUGGACGACAGUGAUCACAGCCUGUGGUGACAAUGGUGAUGCUGACUUGGGCUUAAGAUUAUUUGUUGAUAUGAUAUCUGAGGACACGGUGCCUAAUGAGUUCACCUUAACAAGCGCUAUGAGUUUGUGUUGCUCUGCACAUGCUUUUGAUCUCGGAAAGCAAGUGCAUUCACUGUGUGUAAAAUACGGAUGUGAUUCAAGCCUUCCAGUCAGGAAUUCAAUCAUGUACUUGUAUUUGAAAAGGGGAGAACUGGAUGAGGCACGGAGGUUAUUUGACAGUAUGGAGACUGUGAGUCUGAUUACAUGGAAUGCAAUGAUUGCAGGCCAUGCCGAGCUGAUGGACAUGGCCAAAAAUGAUGCCACGGCUCAUAAGAGUGGCAUUGAAGCACUUAAGAUGUUCCGCAGAUUGCACCGGUCAGGAUUGAAGCCUGAUCUGUUCAGCUUCUCUAGUGUCUUAAGAGUGUGCAGUGGUUUGGUGGCCUUGGAGCAAGGUGAGCAAGUUCACGGUCAGGCUAUCAAAAGUGGGUUUCUAGCUGAUGUUGUUGUGAGCAGUGCUUUGGUGAACAUGUACAACAAGUGUGGUUCCAUUGAUAAAGCAAGCAAAGCUUUUGUUGAGAUGAAUACAAGAACUCUUAUAUCCUGGACUUCAAUGAUCAGUGCAUAUUCACAGCAUGGCCGAGCUAAGGAAGCUAUCCAACUCUUUGAGCAGAUGAGACUUGCAGGAGUGAGGCCAAACCAUGUUACAUUUGUUGGUGUUCUAUCAGCUUGUGCCCAUGCAGGCAUGGUUAGUGAGGCUCAGCACUACUUCAAUGUGAUGAGAAAUGAAUAUGGGAUUAAGCCUGUCAUGGAUCAUUACGCUUGCAUGGUGGAUAUGUAUGUGAGAUUGGGUUGUUUGGAAAGUGCAUUUGACUUCGUAAAAUGCAUGGCUUUUGAACCAAAUGAGAUUAUAUGGUCCAUUUUGAUUGCUGGAUGCCGAAGUCAUGGGAACAUGGAAUUGGCUUUUUAUGCUUCUGAACGGCUUCUUGAGCUCAUACCUAAAGCAACUGAAACAUAUGUGUUGUUAUUAAACAUGUAUGUAGCUGCAGAGAGAUGGCAGGAUGUCUCAAGAGUGAGGAAGCUAAUGAAAGAUGAGAAAAUUGGAGUUGUGAGAGAUCGAAGCUGGGUCAACAUCAAAGAUAGAGUUUACUUUUUCAGAGCAAACGAUAGAUCACACUUCCAAAGUGAUCGAAUGUAUGAACUGUUGGAGGAUUUGCUUGAGAGAGCAAAGCGCUUAGGUUAUGUUCCUUACAAGAAUGCAGAUGUUUCCGAUGAUGAAAAGGAAGAGAAGGCAGCAUCUGGUUCUACCCUUCAUCACAGCGAAAGAUUAGCCAUUGCUUUCGGGCUGCUAAACAUGCCCAAGGGUGCACCAGUGCGAGUUGUCAAGAACAUCACUAUGUGCAGAGAUUGUCAUAGCUCAGCCAAAUUCUUUUCAAUAUUGACAGGCAGGGAAAUCAUUGUUCGGGAUAGCAAGCGGCUUCACAACUUCAAGGAUGGGCGGUGUUCUUGUGGAGAUUUUGGUGCGUUGAUCACAGCUUUUAGCCAUGAAGUUCCAUCUGGGUCUGGGAUCAAAGGCCAGGGGAUUCUUCAUUUCAUCUCCAGCCAAGAAGAAACCUCUCAAUGAGGAGAUCCAAGUGGGAAAGCUCGAGUCUGGUUUCGGUUUCAGAAGUGCAGAUUAUGGCAGUAAGGAGGAAAUCUUCUUUGACUCGCACGCAUUUUUGGAUUCUGAUUGUGAAGAUGAUUUCUGCAGUGUGAAUGGAGGUGAGAUAGCGGUAACGAAUACCUGCUUUGAAUGUUAAUUCAGCAUUAAUCGAGAACCACCUUCCUCACUGUUCUCGGCUUAUUAAUGUUACAUCAGCACAGGAAAGACGAAUUUAUUCAGCUAUAUUCUACUGAAUCCCACUUUGAUUGUUCAUCCAGAUUUUACUCCAUCCCACAGCAGUACUCCAAUCAUUCAGAUUGGGAAUGCAGAGAAAUCAACUGAAGAUUUUAUCGGUGACUCAUUUCCAGACUCGAAAUUCAAACCUUCACUGACUAGUAAAAAGAAAAAACUCGCUGA